ensembl:snoRNA SNORA5C small nucleolar RNA, H/ACA box 5C
UGCAGUCGAGUCAAAUUCUGCCCCCAUUCCUGUCAUAGUGGGGGCUGGCCCAGAUGACUGCCACAGCAAGCUCUGUAGCUCAUGGGCCCUGGUCCCCUGCCCCUGGGACCUGGGGAUAAGUUUGGCUGCAGACAUUG